CCCUUAGAUGUUCUGGGCCGCACGCGCGCUACACUGACGAAUGCAACGAGCUUAUAACCUUGGCCGAAAGGGCUGGGUAAUCUCCAAAUUUCGUCGUGAUGGGGAUAGAUUAUUGCAAUUAUUAAUCUUCAACGAGGAAUGCCUAGUAAGCGCAAGUCAUCAGCUUGCGUUGAUUACGUCCCUGCCCUUUGUACACACCGCCCGUCGCUCCUACCGAUUGAAUGGUCCGGUGAAGCGUUCGGACCGUGGCCUUUGGACGGUUCGCCGUCUGUUGGCUGCGGGAAGUUCGUUAAACCUUAUCAUUUAGAGGAAGGAGAAGUCGUAACA
rnacentral:rRNA from 1 species